CACCUACGGGAGGCAGCAGUGGGGGAUAUUGCACAAUGGGGGGAACCCUGAUGCAGCGACGCCGCGUGGGUGAAGAAGCGCCUCGGCGCGUAAAGCCCUGUCAGCAGGGAAGAAAAUGACGGUACCUGAAGAAGAAGCCCCGGCUAACUACGUGCCAGCAGCCGCGGUAAUACGUAGGGGGCAAGCGUUAUCCGGAUUUACUGGGUGUAAAGGGGGCGCAGACGGCGAUGCAAGCCAGGAGUGAAAGCCCGCGGCCCAACUGCGGGACUGCUUUGGAAACUGCCCGGCUAGAGUGCUGGAGAGGG
rnacentral:rRNA from 1 species